UACGUAGGCAGCGAGCGUUAAUCGGAAUUACUGGGCGUAAAGCGUGCGCAGGCGGUUUUGUAAGACAGGUGUGAAAUCCCCGGGCUUAACCUGGGAACUGCAUUUGUGACUGCAAGGCUGGAGUGCGGCAGAGGGGGAUGGAAUUCCGCGUGUAGCAGUGAAAUGCGUAGAUAUGCGGAGGAACACCGAUGGCGAAGGCAAUCCCCUGGGCCUGCACUGACGCUCAUGCACGAAAGCGUGGGGAGCAAACAGGA
rnacentral:rRNA from 1 species